GCAGUUUCCAAUCAGCACCCCUGACUUGAAAAAUGAGUUGAUUGAGAAAAGAUUGAAACUGACAAAUCGAGCAGCUGAGGUUGAAAGAACAACACAGUUCGGCUGUUAAACGGCUUCAUUAUGAGCAGCGGAUACGUGAGACACGCGAGUGUCCACAUGCAUCCUGUCCACAUGCAUCCUGUCCACAUGCAUCCUGUCCACAUGCAUCCUGAGGGGAGGUUCAGUGUGGCGACGCACCUCGUCUCCUAAAACACACGUCUGUCAUUAAUAGUUUGGCCUGGUUUACCUUUGACUAGAGGUGACUAGAGGUGACUAGAGGUGACUAGGGGUGACUAGGGGUGACUAGAGGUGACUAGAGGUGACUAGGGGUGACUAGAGGUGACUAGGGGUGACUAGGGGUGACUAGAGGUGACUAGGGGUGACUAGGGGUGACUAGAGGUGACUAGAGGUGACUAGGGGUGACUAGAGGUGACUAGAGGUGACUAGAGGUGACUAGGGGUGACUAGAGGUGACUAGGGGUGACUAGAGGUGACUAGAGGUGACUAGGGGUGACUAGAGGUGACUAGGGGUGACUAGAGGUGACUAGGGGUGACUAGGGGUGA
ensembl:lncRNA